rnacentral:lncRNA from 1 species
GAGACAGGUCCAUUGAUACAAUCUUGACGCUUUGGAACUUUGCUUUCCCGAAUGAUGGAGUAUUGGCCGUGGGGUACGGAUGACAUUGUGAUAGGGUGUGAGGCGAAGAGAGUUCUGGGAGUUGAGGUAUAAAGACUUAAAAUCUGGCAAGAGGAAGAUGAGGUCAUGGUAGGAGAUAUGGUAACUGUGUGUGCUGUCAUCUAAAGGAGACCGUCACCCUCUCCCCAAGGGGGCAGCCUGAUGUUCCAGGAGGUGGCAGCCACUCGUCCAGGUCAGAAAGCGACUGCCAAGAACUCACUGGACCUUGGAAGUCAGCCAGCUGCCAAUCUGUCAGCUUGCAUCCGGAGGGCUGGAGAAGAAGCGCUGUGUUAACUGUGCAACUCUGUGCUGCUGUGCACGCUCGAUCCCAUUGCUGCCACGUGAACUAGCUCAGGCUAGCCUGCUGGAGGAUGAAAAGCUGCCAUGUGAACUAGCUCAGGCUAGCCUGCUGGAGGGUGAAAGACCAUAGGGAGUGGAGCACAGUCAUUCCAGCCGAGGUCAUCCUGGACCAGUCUGCAGCCAGCUAACAGCCAAACAGAAGAGCCACCCAGCUGACCCGCAGCUGACCAAAGAUGCAUGAAUGAGCUCAACUGAGACCAGAUAAAGCACCCAACUGGG